GAGGAAUAAGCAUCGGCUAACUCCGUGCCAGCAGCCGCGGUAAUACGGGGGAUGCAAGCGUUAUCCGGAAUCAUUGGGCGUAAAGCGCCUGUAGGUUGUUUAAUAAGUCUGUUGUUAAAGACUAGGGCUUAACCCUAGAAAAGCAAUGGAAACUACUAGACUAGAGUAUGGCAGGGGUAGAGGGAAUUUCUAGUGUAGCGGUGAAAUGCGUAGAUAUUAGAAAGAACACCGGUGGCGAAAGCGCUCUACUGGACCAUUACUGACACUCAGAGGCGAAAGCUAGGGUAGCAAAAGGGAUUAGAUACCCCUGUAGUCCUAGCCGUAAACGAUGGAUACUACAUGUUGUGCAUUAUGUACAGUAUGGUAGCUAACGCGUUAAGUAUCCCGCCUGAGGGAGUACGCUCGCAAGGGUGAAACUCAAAGGAAUUGACGGGGGCCCGCACAAGCGGUGGAGCAUGUGGUUUAAUUCGAUGCAACGCGAAGAACCUUACCAGGACUUGACAUACUACAAAUUCUUUUGAGAAAAAGAAGUGCCUUCGGUAAUGUAGAUACAGGUGGUGCAUGGCUGUCGUCAGCUCGUGUCGUGAGAUGUUGGGUUAAGUCCCGCAACGAGCGCAACCCUUAUUUUUAGUUACCAAAUUCGUUGGGUUCUCUAGAAAGACUGCCGGUGACAAACCCGUAGAAAGGUGAGGAUGACGUCAAGUCAGCAUGCCCCCUUAUGUCCUGGGCUACACACGUGCUACAAUGGUUAAGACAAAGAGUCGCGAGCUCGUGAGAGUCAGCUAAUCUCAUAAACUUAGCCCAAGUUCAGAUUGUAGGCUGCAACUCGCCUACAUGA
rnacentral:rRNA from 1 species